CUGUGGUCGGCCGCGCGUGCGCACAGUGCUCGCGCUGGUGGAUACGGAUACGUGUUUCGGGGCAGCGCUGCUGUCUUGGUGGCUCGCCGUCGCCCCCAUUCCCCGCUAUCGUCGAUGCCAUGGGGUGGGUCGCGUGCCUGGAUGGCGUGCCCGCAUGCGCCGCGACAGGUGGGACGCUGCCAUGAGUCUGUGGCAGCAAGGGGCAUCCCGCCUUCCCCUGAACCCGCACGGUCCUGGCAGGGAGUGGGUGUGUCCAGCGGAGGGGGCUGGCGGAUAGGCAUGUGCCUGCGCGCGACGAAGUCGCAGCUUGCCGUCCUGAGGGGGGGGUGCAGGGGGGGCGGCGGCGGACACGCGACUGGGGGCGGGGGUCCAUGCGUCGCGCGAUCCGCGAACUCGCGCGUGGCACUGCGGGCCCGACACGGCGGCGGAGGCCCUGGCGGGGGUGGGGACGCCACCGUGCGAGCGGAGUAGCAGGCAGCGCACCACGUGCACUCCAUCUUGUCACUGCCAGUCACCCGUCGCUGCAGGAAUGCAAAGGGCGGACAGGUGUGCGUGCGGAGCUGGGCGAUGACGGUCUCCUGUCGUCUCGUGAGCUCGGCGCCCUCGUUGCUUGGCGCGGGACGGCUGCCACCGUGUAACUGACGCGAUUUGCCGUGAGCCGGUACACGCGUGAUCGCGGUCGCGAGUCUCUUCGGCACAGCGCCAGCCCAGACCGGUGUGCCGGCAGCAAGAGUCCACAUCCGUGCCCGACGGCAGGGUACCAGCAGCUGACUUGCUUUACUGUCAGCACCCGUGAUGAUGUAGGACACCUCAGUGCGUCGUUUCGCAGGGUCCCGCUCACCCACUCGCUGAGGGAGGGUGCCGUGGUGCCCCCGCCAUCCCUACCCAUGCCGGCCCGCCUCUGGUGGUCAGAAGGUCGAGUGCCUAUGACGGAGGGAGGUCAGUGGGAUUCAUCGCUGCUGAUGUUGGUGGUGCUUCGGAGCGACCUGCGACAGCGACCACACGCUUGGGCCAUCCGUGUGAUGGGCGAAGUGUCCGCGUGACUCGAGCGUAUUCCACUCCCGCCCCGCACACUGCCUGCUGAUGGUGAGGAGACUACGCCAACGCUGAAGAUGCACAGGGUGGCGACCGGCAUGAUGGAGGGAGUGCCUGCGAGGCGGCCUGCGGAGGUGCGGGGUGGUGGGUAGAGUGUGAAACAAUGACCGUGCUCAGUUGACUGAGCUGGCGCACUACUGUGCCGGCGUGCCUACGGCUGCCUCGCUCCAGGUGAUGCGGGGUCUGUGGCCUCCGGAUGUGACAGAGUGGAUUGCUGGACCUAUGGCAGAAUGGAAGCAGUAAAAUAGGAUAGGGCGGGGGCACACAAGCGGGUCAUUAUGCUUUGCCAUGUAGAUGAGGGCUGUCGCGAUGGAUGAUAUAUCAUGUGGCGUAGAGAGGUCCCUUUCUUCGUAUUCUCUCGUCUAUGUGGAGUGCCGGCGAGACUCAGGAUUGGUUCCUGUGGAGGAGUGAUGCCCCAGCGCGAUGUGCAGAGCCGCUGCUGAGCAUCGCAUUUAGAGUGGCGUAGAUAGCUGUGCAAGGGAGGGUCAAUGUGCUAUGUGCGUGCGUUCGGGUGGAAGGAGACCUCCAGCUGCGGCGUCUCUCGUCCGCUCAGUGAAAGUGCUGCAGGUUUUGAUUGUCUUCCUUAGCGAGAGAGUUGGCAAGGCUUUCGAAAACCGGAGAGCAUCCCAGGCGCUGUCCAUGCCGUAGCCUUCUUGCGGCAUCCGUGGAGAGCCCAUCCCUCUCGAUCUUCCCUUGGCAAGUCGCAGUCGUGGAUGUGGGCUGUGUGCAUCCUCGCGUUUGAUGUGCGUGUAGUUGAGGGACAGAGAGGAAGUGCUGCUGCGAAGCUGGAGGGAUUUUGUGAAGGGUCUACUCUUUCGCAUGUCGGCUGUGCACCCUCACCCCCCGCCCCAGCCCUUACGUUGCAUUCAUGUCGUUAAUGUUCACGUCGCCGCGGGUUGUGUCCCGUCGCUUUUCACGUCACCUCUGUGUGUGUGUAUGCCACCGGUGGUCUUCCUCCUCUUUUUGAUUGGGGAAAGAGUGCCGGCAAGUCGAGCCGCUCAGCGCUCCUCCAUGUGUUGGUAUUGUGGCGGUGCCACUGCUGUGCUGGGGAUCCUCGAGGCAGUGUACGCGAUCGUGUUGUAUGCCGGUAGUGCAGUGCCGCAAAACUGCGAUGCUUGUUGCAGACGAGCGCUUUUUGCUCUCUCUUACGCGUGCCGCGGAAGCGGUGUCCUUCACCGACG
rnacentral:misc_RNA from 1 species